rnacentral:lncRNA from 1 species
AUGCAGAUUUCAUUCCGGAUACAAGAACUUAAAUAUGAAAGAGGAAGAUCCUUCCUGGUGCUCUAUUACAAGCUCCUUCGAAGACCUCUGACUCAGCUGAUUGUUAAUUGCCACAGCAUGCCCGCAUUUGCCUGGAUUGCCACGGUGCGUGGAUUACAGACACGGCUCUGGUUGGCGGUGCCAUGCUCCAGGUGGACCGAGGUAGGACUUGGCUCCGUGGAGUGCUCAGAGUUUUAACAGAAGACAACAUGAAUUAAGCCUGGAAACUCAUCAGCUGAGGCAAGGAACACAGCGCUGACCUUAUCUCCAAUCUAAAGAUGUCCUACACAUUUUCAAGAAACAUAAAGCCUAAGGAAUUGAUCUGUGCAUGGGAGGAAUCGGAACCGAGCCGGGCAUGGUGGGUGGCGGUGGUCAACUGUGCGCUUCAAAAGGCAUUCUCACAGAGCGUUGUUAGUCAUUCAUGUGCAAUAGAAAAUGAGCAAAGCAGCCUUUCUUCCACUGCAUUGUUUUAGUUCACAAAAGUCUAUGCUGACAGCAUUGUUUCUUAAUUAAAAAGUUUUGAGCAUGAGAUGUGAUAAAUAGGAACCUCUGAAAGGAGAAGCGAAUCUAUUAUUCUAAGUGAAAUCCGAACUGUGUGUGAUUUGUGUUUCAGCAGACAGUUCUGGGGAAUUUGUCCAUAUUUAUUACACAAUGCCAUUUAGAUAGAAACAUAAAUGGAAUACCCACUUUUCUGCUCACUGUAACAAGUCACCAGUGCUGCGUUUAUCACUGCAGGAGCCAUGUACCUUCAUGAGGACACUCAUUGCCUCCUCUUGCUGCAGGAGGAUGGGAAACAGGAGGUGCUGUUCUGGCACCCUUGAGGAAGGGAAUGGAUUUCCCGUUGAUGCCGCCUCCCCAAAAGCUGGGAAAGUGGAAUUUCCUUCUGCAGAGCCACUGCACACAGGAUGGGCAGGGACUGGCAACCAAAAUACAACACUGAAAAAGAAAAAUCAGGGUUCUGCUGUUU